rnacentral:tRNA from 1 species
GGAGGCAUAGCUCAGUGGUAGAGCAUUCGACUGCAGAUCGAACGGUCUCCGGUUCAAAUCUGGGUGUCUCCU